rnacentral:rRNA from 1 species
UUUAGAGUUUGAUCCUGCUCAGAACGAACGCUGGCGGCGUGCCUAACACAUGCAAGUCGAGCGAGAAAGUCCCCGCAAGGGGAUGAGUACAGCGGCGAACGGGUGAGUAACACGUGGGCAACCUGCCCCUCCGUCAGGAAUAACCCCGCGAAAGCGGGGCUAAUACCAGAUCAUGUCCCUCGGGGACAUCCCUGGGGGACCAAAGGGGGCGAGCGAAAGCAGCUCCCGCUGAGGGAUGGGCCUGCGGCUGAUUAGCUAGUUGGUGGGGUAACGGCCUACCAAGGCGACGAUCAGUAGCCGACCUGAGAGGGUGACCGGCCACACUGGGACUGAGACACGGCCCAGACUCCUACGGGAGGCAGCAGUGGGGAAUAUUGCGCAAUGGGCGAAAGCCUGACGCAGCGACGCCGCGUGGGGACGAAGGCCUUCGGGUUGUAAAGCCCUGUCGGGUGGAACGAAUGGCCUGGCGGCAAAUACCCGCUAGGUUAGACGGACCACCGAAGGAAGCCCCGCA